GGAGGGGCCUCCAUUCACAUUCCCGGAAGAGGAGCUGCUCUGCCGAGGAGGAGGAGUACAAAAAGAGAGUGUCAAAUGCAACACUUGUCUCAUGAAGAGUCCCGAUGCCGAGUGCAUGACUGGGGCCGAAGGUUGCAUGUCUCAGGUGGGAGAAAAAUGCAUGACCAUCCGCAUCAGCCAAGACGGAAAGGAGAAAUUCAGGAUCCUGGGCUGCAGCAGACAGAAGAAAAAAGGCUGCGGCGUAAACAAGAAGUCGCACGGCCACAAGGUCACCAUCCGAUGCUGCUCUUCCGACUACUGCAACAUCUAGCAAGGAGCUGGGAAUCUCGCGCCAGUCUCCACAAUUCUUCCUUCUCUAUUGCCGCACCUGCCUUUCGUUUUCUCUCCCCUCCUCGGGAGGCAAGCCAUGGUGUGAGAAGAGAGUGGGGAAGGAAACGUACAGAUCUUUGCAAAACUCCUCGGCUUCUCUGAGAUUUCCCUCAUAUUCCGGAAGAGGAAUGGCUUCUCUUUCCCAUCUCCACCCACAACCCACGAUUGCUUAGCUCUCCCCCCCGCUUCCAGCCCUCUGGGUGGCGUUUUCCACCCCUCUUGCCUUUCAGAAUAUUUGUGGGGUUGAGCAAGAGAUGUAUUGAGGAAACGUAAAGGGCAGAAAUAAACAAGGGAAUUCUGCAAACAGCAGGAGUUGGGGCUCCCCCCCCCCUGCAUAAUUUCAAAUGCAUGUGGUUGAAAAAUUAUGUGAUUUAAUUGUGUGCGAUUUUUAACAUCAUAUUUUACUGGAAUUGCUCAGUGAGGAAAGUGAAAGAAAAAAGACCAAAGAUAUUUGAAAAUGUGAUGCAAUGUGACAUAUGGGUAAUAUUAUGAUUCUAGCACAUAAAAAAUUAACAAGUUGUUGAUUUUUAUAAAUGCGUUCCAAACAUUUAUUUAUCCAUAUGCAAUCUGCGUCUAAAAGCAAUCCAUUCAUAUGUUGCAAGAGUUGUCCUACCCAUUGAUUAAAGGGGGUCAUAGUAUUAUCCUUCCAAUGAAUCAGUAGCAGUCUUUUGGCAGAAGUUAGGGCACAAAGAGCCCAUCUAUGUUGACCCCUUGUCAAGCCUCAUAUUGCUUGUGUAUGGUUCAAAAGUUAAUGGUUAUCGCUAAAUCUAGUGACAGCAAUUUUGAGAAAUUAGAGGACAUUGUGGUUAUUAUUUCGUGUACGAAUCACUUCUUAUGAAGCAUCUCAAAUCAAAUUCACAAGACAAUAAAUAAUAAUAAUUCUAUACAGUACAGUUGCAACCAACAUGUACUAGUAGGUAGGGUUCAGCAUUAAUCUGUUAAUCUGACACAAGAUGCUGUAUUUGGUUUUCUGCAGAGUUGGUGGGAAACUCUUUUUCCUUGCCCUCCCCCCCAAGCUAGUUUCUCGUAGUGGUUUAAUAUACAAAUCCCUCUUCACAGGGAACUCUGGUUCUGUGGGGAAUAGGGGCUUCCUAACAGCUCUCAGCUUCCUUAAUGAACUACUGCUCCCAUAAUUCUUUAGGAACAGCCAUGAAUGUUCUGCUUCAAGUAUAUGGUGUGUUCUUGAUUCUGCCAUAGAAACACAAAUCAAACUAUCUGCAGACACUGCUCCUUUCGAGGCCAACAGAUGAGGCCAAGCUAGUUUUCCCUUUGCUGUAAACAACUUUUGGGAGGCAGAGGUUGUAGCAUGUGAAUAAUGUGCAUGUGUGUGUGUAUUGGCUUUAUUUUGUUAUGCAUUUUGUGUUUUAUACUUUAAACCAGGGGUCAGCAAACUUCUUCAGCAGGGGGCUGGUCCACUGUCCCUCAGACCUUGUGGGAGGCCGGACUAUAUUUUGAAAAAAAAUAUGAACGAAUUCCUAUGCCCCACAAAUAACCCAGAGAUGCAUUUUAAAUAAAAGGACACAUUCUACUCAUGUAAAACCAGGCAGGCCCCACAAAUAACCGAGAGAUGCAUUUUAAAUAAAAGGACACAUCUAUUCAUGUAAAAACAUGCUGAUUCCUGGACCGUCCGUGGGCCGGAUUUAGAAGGCGAUUGGGCCGCAUCCAGCCCCCGGGCCUUAGUUUGGGGGCCCUGCUUUAAACUGUACUGUGAUUUUCAGACAUAGAGCCAUAUACAAAAUUAAUAUUAAUUAUUAAUAUUAUUAAUCAAAUAGCAGCUGCAAGGAAGCCUGAUCAGCUUCCUUUUUUGCUUUCUGACGGUAACUUCUUUUGGGGCUUGGGGCUGGGGCUGGGUUGGUCUCCCUGCUACUUGGCAAGUUGUUCUUCCUGGGAGCAGGGCUGGAUAUAGAUUUGAUAAGGCCCUAAGCUACUGAAGGUAAUGGGGCCCUUUAUAUGUCUAGAUGUCCUUUGUCAACAACAAAUUGUCACUUUUGUUGUUGUUGUUGUUUAGUCGUGUCCGACUCUUCGUGACCCCAUGGACCAUAGCACGCCAGGCACUCCUGUCUUGCACUGCCUCCCGCAGUUUGGUCAAACUCAUGUUCGUAGCUUCGAGAACACUGUUGUUUUUUUAAAUAUAUGCUAUAUUCAUGGACCUAAUAGGUAUCUAAAGCCAUUUGCACGUUGCCAUGCAACCAGUCCAUGCAGAAUGUAGGGCCCCUAUAUAUAGAAAUGAGCAAACCACUGAUAUUUUAGAGAGCAGGCUAGCAGGCGGGGCCCAUCCUAGGAGCCUAAAGGUAAAAGUAAAGAGACCCCUGACCAUUAGGUCCAGUCAUGACAAACUCUGGGGUUGCGACGCUCAUCUCGCGUUAUCGGCCGAGGAAGCCGGCGUACAGCUUCCAGGUCAUGUGGCCAGCAUGACAAAGCUGCAUCUGGCAAACCAGAGCAGCACACGGAAACGCCGUUUACCU